rnacentral:rRNA from 1 species
GGAGUCUUACAUGCAAGUCGAACGGCAGCGCGGGGCAACCUGGCGGCGAGUGGCGAACGGGUGAGUAAUAUAUCGGAACGUACCCUGGAGUGGGGGAUAACGUAGCGAAAGUUACGCGAGUACCGCAUACGAUCUAAGGAUGAAAGCAGGGGACCGCAAGGCCUUGUGCUCCUGGAGCGGCCGAUAUCUGAUUAGCUAGUUGGUGGGGUAAAGGCCUACCAAGGCAUCGAUCAGUAGCUGGUCUGAGAGGACGACCAGCCACACUGGAACUGAGACACGGUCCAGACUCCUACGGGAGGCAGCAGUGGGGAAUUUUGGACAAUGGGCGCAAGCCUGAUCCAGCAAUGCCGCGUGAGUGAAGAAGGCCUUCGGGUUGUAAAGCUCUUUUGUCAGGGAAGAAACGGGUGGAGCUAAUAUCUCUGGCCUAAAUGACGGUACCUGAAGAAUAAGCACCGGCUAACUACGUGCCAGCAGCCGCGGUAAUACGUAGGGUGCAAGCGUUAAUCGGAAUGGACUGGGCGUAAAGCGUGCGCAGGCGGUUUUGUAAGUCUGUCGUGAAAUCCCCGGGCUCAACCUGGGAAUUGCGAUGGAGACUGCAAAGGCUAGAAUCUGGCAAAAGGGGGGUAGAAUUCCACGUGUAGCAGGUGAAUGCGUAGAAGAAUGUGGAGGA